AACGAACGCUGGCGGCAUGCCUAACACAUGCAAGUCGAACGAAGGCUUCGGCCUUAGUGGCGCACGGGUGCGUAACGCGUGGGAAUCUGCCCUUUGCUUCGGAAUAACAGUUAGAAAUGACUGCUAAUACCGGAUGAUGUCGCAAGACCAAAGAUUUAUCGGCAAAGGAUGAGCCCGCGUAGGAUUAGCUAGUUGGUGGGGUAAAGGCCUACCAAGGCGACGAUCCUUAGCUGGUCUGAGAGGAUGAUCAGCCACACUGGGACUGAGACACGGCCCAGACUCCUACGGGAGGCAGCAGUGGGGAAUAUUGGACAAUGGGCGAAAGCCUGAUCCAGCAAUGCCGCGUGAGUGAUGAAGGCCUUAGGGUUGUAAAGCCCUUUUACCCGGGAUGAUAAUGACAGUACCGGGAGAAUAAGCUCCGGCUAACUCCGUG
rnacentral:rRNA from 1 species